AAAUUGAAGAGUUUGAUCAUGGCUCAGAUUGAACGCUGGCGGCAGGCCUAACACAUGCAAGUCGAACGGUAACAGGAAACAGCUUGCUGUUUCGCUGACGAGUGGCGGACGGGUGAGUAAUGUCUGGGAAACUGCCUGAUGGAGGGGGAUAACUACUGGAAACGGUAGCUAAUACCGCAUAAUGUCGCAAGACCAAAGAGGGGGACCUUAGGGCCUCUUGCCAUCGGAUGUGCCCAGAUGGGAUUAGCUAGUAGGUGGGGUAACGGCUCACCUAGGCGACGAUCCCUAGCUGGUCUGAGAGGAUGACCAGCCACACUGGAACUGAGACACGGUCCAGACUCCUACGGGAGGCAGCAGUGGGGAAUAUUGCACAAUGGGCGCAAGCCUGAUGCAGCCAUGCCGCGUGUAUGAAGAAGGUCUUCGGGUUGUAAAGUACUUUCAGCGGGGAGGAAGGGAGUAAAGUUAAUACCUUUGCUCAUUGACGUUA
rnacentral:rRNA from 1 species